UUACCAUUCUAUUCCUUUUUCUUCUCCUUAUCCCUCAAGGUUCUCAUCAUAUAUGCAUCAGUGUCUAUCUUCUCAAAAAGCAUACAUACUAUAGGUGCACCUGUAAUAAAAGAAGUAAGUCAAAUAUAUUGUAUGAAAGUUGUGAAAGUAAAGUAACAAAAUGCAACAUGUUUCAUCCAAGAUACAUGCACCAGUUUUGGUGUAAUAGCUCCCAAACUUCCAACACAGUUUUCUUAACUAAUUCAAAAUCUUAUAUAUAAUGGCAAUAAAAAUCAUAGUUCAUGUGCAGAAAAUGUAACAUAAUCAGA
rnacentral:lncRNA from 1 species